UACGUAGGGUGCGAGCGUUGUCCGGAUUUAUUGGGCGUAAAGGGCUCGUAGGCGGCCUGUCGCGUCGGGAGUGAAAGCCCACUGCUUAACGGUGGGUCUGCUUCCGGUACGGGCGGGCUGGAGUAUGGCAGGGGAGACUGGAAUUCCUGGUGUAGCGGUGAAAUGCGCAGAUAUCAGGAGGAAAACCGAUGGCGAAGGCAGGUCUCUGGGCAUUAACUGACGCUGAGGAGCGAAAGCAUGGGGAGCGAACAGG
rnacentral:rRNA from 1 species